AUAAAUCCAAUGACUUAGUUUGAAC
rnacentral:piRNA from 1 species